rnacentral:rRNA from 1 species
CCUACGGGCUGCAGCAGUGGGGAAUAUUGCGCAAUGGGCGAAAGCCUGACGCAGCGACGCCGCGUGAGGGAUGAAGGUCUUCGGAUCGUAAACCUCUGUCAGCAGGGAAGAACGGUCACUGUGCUAAUCAGCAGUGAAUUGACGGUACCUGCAAAGGAAGCACCGACUAACUCCGUGCCAGCAGCCGCGGUAAUACGGAGGGUGCGAGCGUUAAUCGGAAUUACUGGGCGUAAAGCGCUCGUAGGCGGUAUGUCAAGUCAAGGGUGAAAUCCCCGCGCUCAACGUGGGAACUGCCUUUGAAACUGGCAAACUGGAGUGUGUGAGAGGAUAGUGGAAUUCCAGGUGUAGGAGUGAAAUGCGUAGAUAUCUGGAGGAACAUCAGUGGCGAAGGCGACUAUCUGGCACAUAACUGACGCUGAGGAGCGAAAGCGUGGGUAGCAAACAGGAUUAGAUACCCUUGUAGUC